rnacentral:rRNA from 1 species
UACGUAGGGUGCAAGCGUUGUCCGGAAUUAUUGGGCGUAAAGAGCUCGUAGGCGGCUUGUCGCGUCGGCUGUGAAAACCUGGGGCUCAACCCCGGGCCUGCAGCCGAUACGGGCAAGCUAGAAUUCGGUAGGGGAGACUGGAAUUCCUGGUGUAGCGGUGAAAUGCGCAGAUAUCAGGAGGAACACCGGUGGCGAAGGCGGCAUCCUGGACCAAUUCUGACGCUGAGGAGCGAAAGCCAGGGGAGCAAACGGG